AAGAAGAAGAUGAAGAAGACUAAGUUUGGAGUAUUGAUUAGGGCUGGAGAGACUGAGGUUAUACUUCCGGAAGGCUUGACUCAUUAAGUUGUCAUUUUAGGGGUUUUCAUGAGCUAGGAGCUAAACUUGCCACAUAGGAGCACUUUUGGGUCAACGGGGAUCAGCGCAAAAGAUUUUGGCAAAUAGGCCCACUCAUAGAAUAGAUUUUGAGGCACUACAAUGGUUUAUCACAUGAUAAAAGAAUUGUGGGAUUCGUGAAUAUAUGGACCGAUGAAGUCUUAGUCUUGACAUGAUUUUCCUUGAUGAAGAGAUCGGAUCGAUUUCCCUCGAUAUGAAGGUGCAUUGUUCAAUGACUCCACUUGCUUAACUCACUGAGCUCUCUGUUGGUUGUACCACUCUUGGAAGCCUCACUUAGCAUGGGUGCUAUGGGAGAAUUUUGGAACAUGUGCUAUUGCAAUAGCAUUGCAAGAUUCCGGCAGGAGGGGUCUCGAUUCCGGCCGCCACUCCCUGAUUGGGGCUGCCAGUGCUUGUUGUUGUCACCGGCGAUCCCAAUCAAUGGUGCUGGCCGCCGACAAGGCCCCCACCACUGGCUACCGCACCUUUUUUUUUUCUUAUUUUCUUGAAAUAAUUUUAUCAAAGAUAAUCUGUGGGUCCCACUCAAGCAGUCAUCAUGAGGCAUGUGGCAUCGGUAGUACUCGUCAGCGAUUUCCGUUUAAAUUAACGGAAAAGUUGACGUCGUACUAAAAUUGAUAUUAAAUUGAUAGUUUUUGCAUUUUUAGGUCAAGAAAAAAAA